UCAAGAAUGCUCCGUUCGAAAUUAUUUUGGUUAUUCGUCGUUUCUUUCUCUAUAAUUUUACUUUUUUCAUACGAUUUCGAAGAAAGAAAACCAAGAAACAUCAUAAAAAGUAUUAAAUUUAUGUAAUUUGAGAAAUUCAAUUAUUUUAAAAUUAUAUAAAAACAAAGAAUUGUCUUUCAACGAGAGGAAAACGAGUGCUGCAGUUUCUGCGGUGCAGGAAUUCUAGACUGAAGAAAUACACGCACCUCCAAUUGAUAUUUUUAAGAAAUAUUGAGAAGAAAUAGCUAACUAUUCCAGAAAUGUUUAUUGCAAAUUUUGGAAAGAAAUCACCUCUAUUUUCGAACUGGAGAAAUUUCCAGAUUUAGAAGUCAAUUCUCAUUCUUGGAUCGAACGUUUUCGACUGAAAUUAUGGAAAUUGCGUGAAAGAGAACCGCGAGGGAGAAGGAAUAACUAUGACUUGAAUUUUUUAAACGAAAUAACAAAACUAAUGGACAGAAAAUAAGGUUAAAUUGCUUUUAAAAACACAAUUUUUUAAAAAGAGAUUAAGAACAAGAUACCGAAUUUUUACAGAAAAUGAUGAUAAGUAUUGACACUAAUGUGAAUUUUGUAUGCAAAACAGCAAUAUCAUUUUUAAAAAUACUAAAAUCAACAAAAAGAAAAUUAUGGAAAGCAAUUAUCUUCUCUCAACAACAAUUGAAAAAGAUACUAAAUGAAAUCUUCAGCUUAAACUUAAUAUUCAGUACCAAUAUAAAUACAUUGUCCUUCUUUACUGUACUUAUAAUGAUGAUCGAUAGUUUAUUGUUGUUAGCAACGGAACUAAGUCAAGAUUUGAUUAGUGCGAAGAUGUCUGCAUUUAGAUUAGUUCUAAAUUUUUUGCCUCAACUUCAAAAACCGGUUUAUGUCGAUGAAGUUCAAAUAAUGUUGUAAACGAAUACUUUUGAUUGUUUGAUAAGAAAUUCAUGUGAAAUUUAUAAGAAAAUUAUUUUUAUAAUCAUCGUUUUUAAUACAAUAAUUUCAUAUUUAAGAGUGAUUAUUUUUAAUUUUUAAAAUGUUCAUAGUUGUAAUUUAAGUUUUUAUUAUUUCAGACGUGAAAUAGAUUUCCAUUUUAAAUAAAAUAUUUACUAAUUAAGUUGAUUUUUAUAUUCAUGUAUUUAAUUAAAAUCGAAAUAUAUUUUUAAAACAUACAAUAGAAUUUAUACUUCAAUUUAGUUAGCAUUUCUCGAUUUUACGUUAACCUUUGAUGUUAAGCAGCGAAUUUUUAAACAGCAUACCCGAAUGCGAUUUCGACUUAAAGUUAACAAAAUAAAAAGGUAUUUGGUGAUUGUGUGUCCUGAUUUUUUGGUUGCUAAUCUGUCGCGCAUGAAAAGAACGGAUUGAAUUAAAGACUAAUUUGUAUUAUAUAUUUGCAUUCCGAAAUACUGUACAAUGAAUAUCUGUAACUAAUAUUAUUACAGUAUUAUAUUAAUGUAUAUACAUUUAAUGCAUAAU